rnacentral:lncRNA from 1 species
UCAUUAAAUGUAGAUAGUCUUGAUUAUGUUAUUAAUUAUGAAUCGGUUUUUAUACGAUGAUUAGUGAUUAAGUUCGGUAAUGCCUCGUACCCUGUUCUGGCAUCAAACAUGGGUAAGGGGUGUUACAGUUAAACCAAAACCCUAGGGUUUUUUCCCUACUUUUGCACUGCAACCAGACAACCCCCCAUGUACGGCCUCCGUGCACCUAAAGACUGACUCCGUACGCUCCAGCGCUCCAGCGCUCCAGCAGUCACGCCUCACGUCAAGCGCCACGUACCACAGCACCAAUGGGCCUCCGUACCUGCGAAGAAACAGACAGAACAACAGCAGCAACAAUAGCCAAUACGAAAACAAAAAACAAAAAAUUGUAUUUUAUUUUAAACAUUCGGCUAUAAAGCCUAUUAUUUUCGAUUGUAAAGGGGUUCUUUUUUACGAAAACAGGCAAUAUACGCAAUAGAAAAACAAUCAGAAUAGACGAAAACAGAGAAGGUGAUUUAUUCACGAUUUUCCUCCCUUAUUUCUCUCUUACUUUCUGAUUUACCCUUUUGAUCAAAUAUACUAAAAAAGAAACGAAACUUACCUGCGUUUGAUGCCUUCGAAUCCUCGUUGGUUCCACCACGAUCGAAACUAAAUGGCGAUUCGGGGUUUGUGAGCAAGACUCACAAAUCUUUCGGUUCGAUGAAGCCUCGAUUGACCCUUGUAUGAGUCAAAAGGAGAGGCAGGAGAACAGACCUUCGAAAGGCUGUUAGUCGGCGAAGGGUUGGGAGAGCAACCUAGGUUUUCUUUUUUUCUUUUUGUAAAUGGCUGCAAACUUUUUUAGGGUUUGUUUCGGUGACUAUAAGGGCCCUUUAGACGUCACCGUUUUAAGCCAAACUAAUGGUCUCAAAACGACAACGUUCAAGGAGCUACAGCCCGAUGACCCGACCCGCACAUGGUCAAAAUCCGUGUGUUUGGUCAUUGAAGGCUAUUUCCAAUAUCAGUCUUUCCCCUUUCG